rnacentral:lncRNA from 1 species
GAAGUUGGCUGGGGCGGCGUGUUCCGGCACCUCGGCGCGGGUAAGAUGAGAGUCUGCUGUGAUUAUUGUAUGCUGGUCUCACUGGUAUAUGGGGCGAAACAAUUUGUCUUCAGAUCUAGAAGAAAUAUACCCAAGGAGUCUUAUCUACACCUGGACUUGGUUUAGAUGACAAGAUCUUGAACCUUGAGCCAGACUGCUGCUGUAAUAUGGUAAGACUCUUAGGGGUCUUGGGAGAGAGUUGAGAGUAUUUUGCACGUGGGAGGGCUGUGAGCCACUGGAAACCAGAGAGCAAACUGUUGCAGUUUGUUUUAUUGGUGGCCCCAAUAAGCUAUGCCUCUUAGUAUUCAUAACCUUGUGUAAUCCCCUUCCCAUGAAUCUGGUCUGGGUUUAUGACUUGCUUUAACUCAUCAAAUGCAGCAGAAGUGACACUGUGCCAGUUCUGAGCCUUAAGAAGUACUGUCAGCUUCUGCUUUGGUGCUUCCGGAUGCUGUGAUCUGCCAUAUAAAAAGUCUAAUUACCUUGCUAGAGGGGCUAUAUAAAAAGGCCUUAGAAAAACCCUGCCAUCUCAGCAUCUCAGCGGAGCCCAGCCCCCAUCCAACUCACACUGAAUUCAGCCAAUUAGUGAUCAUCAUCAAGAUCAGCAGAAACCUUAUCCAACUAAGCCCAGUCUGAAUAUCAGAGAGUGAGCAAAUACAAAGGUUGUUGUUUUAAGCCAUUAAAUGUUGGGAUGGUUUGUUACACAGUAAUAGAUAAGUGAAAUAGACCCAAUUAAAAUAGUUGAUCCAUAAGCAUAUAACAAAACUCAUUAUAACAAUAUCUCAAAAGCAUAAGAAGAAAAUUCUUUAUGGAAAAUAAACCUUUGGUUUCACUGAAGUUAAUUGACUAAAUUAACUCAACCACAAUUUGAGCAUAAAUCACAAUUGAAAAGACUGACUCGGCAGAGUAAAUGGAAAAGGCUCAAAGAGCCGACUAUAUUUAGCAUCUACUUGGGUUUGGUGUGGGAUGCAAGUGAGUUUUAAAAUCAGGAAAAGGAAAAAACCAUCAAGUCAGAGUAGAGCCUAGAGAUUUGUUUAUGCUUUCUCAUGCCAGAAACUUGAGAUCGCUUUCCUUCUUUGAGGAAGAAAAGUAUGAUUUGUAAUUUUGCACAGCUGAGAAGAAAUGUUUCCGCUAUCCCUCCAAACCUCACUCCCUGCCUUCCAGCCACAUACAGAACCAAUGCAGCUCCUCAAAUGAGCCUCUCUGCUUUGUUCAUGUUAUUCUUCCUGCUUGUGUUCUGUUUCCCCAUCCAUCCAUUAACUGCUAAACUUCACCCACUUCACCCACUUGGAAAAUGAGGUGAAGCUUCCACUUGGGGAAAAUCUUUCUGACAACUGUCCCUCUGUGCCCUCAAGUAGGCUAAUCACCCCUGCCUUGGGACACCACUGUACUUUGUUUUCACCUGUAUUCUUUGGCUGUACAAUUAUUAGGAUGGUUUGUUUGCUUGUCCUUUACUCCUCCUUGACCAUAAAUUUCUACUAGAGACAGGAAGAAAUCCUACUGAGAUAAGUAUACGUGGCAUUUAUUACAUGCUUAUAAUGUGGCCUAACAUCAGUGGUUUUCAAAGUUUUGGUUGUAUCAAGGGUGCCUAUUAAAAAUGCGUAUUUUUAGCUGGGUGUGGGGACUCACGCCUGUCAUCCCAGCACUUUGGGAGGCCAAGGGGGGCGGAUCACCUGAGGUCAGGAGUUCGAGAUCAUCCUGGCCAACCAGGUGAAACCCUAUCUCCACCAAAAAUACAAAAAUUAGCCAGGCGUGGUGGUGGGCACCUGUAAUCCCAGCUACUUGGGAGACUGAGGCAGGAGAAUGGCUUGAACCUGGGAGGUGGAGGUUGCAGUGAGCUGAGAUUGCGCCAUUGCAGUCCAGCCUGGGCGACAGAGUGAGUCUCCGUCUCAAAAAAAAAAAAAAAAAAAAAAAGCAUAUUUUCAACAACCAGCCCCAGAUAGCCUCAUUCAUUUGGGGCUGGGAGAUCUGCAUUUUUAACAGGCACCUAGAUACAAUAAUUGGUCAGGCAACUCUAUCUUACAAAAUAUGGGCCUCAGGACCUCCUGUCUUCUCUUGCCUCUCUCUGGCUGCCUAACCUGGGCUAUUUCCCUACAGUAAAGGAAAAACCAAGGAAGAUAACUGGGUGAAACUCAAAUCAGGUAAACACACUUUUAAAGUUCUGACCUGGAAGUUGAAGGUGCAGGCUAAAAUAAUAAUUAUUCAUCAAUGGUAUUUAUUUCCAUUUUUCCUGACUUCCUUUUCCACCACUAGUCAAGAACCGGCCAUAUUUAAAAUUAUGCUGGUUGACAUUUUCUCAAGGCACCCUUUGAAUAACCCUUCAAAGCCAGAAAAAUUUAUGUAUUUGGAAAUUAAAUUGUGAUGAGCUUGUCUGUCAGCUGCAUGAUGUUUCCCCACUCAUUCUGUUCUGGGUGAUAAAUCCAUAAUCACUGAAGUCAAGAGCUGUUCAUUACAUAUAUUCAUAUAACCUGGUCCGAGGCCCAGACUAUCUGAAUUGGCAGUAGCAAUACCAGCUACUAUUUAUUUACCUCUUGCUUUGUGCUGUGGCUGGGAUCAGUGUUUUACAUCAUUUUGUUCUUUAAUCCGUAUCAACACCUUUGAGAUAGGUUUUAGAGGUAAGAAAGGUGGGGCUCAGAGAAAUUUAAAACAACUCAUCCAAAGGGCAAGAUGAGGUAGGAUGAAAAGAUAUGUCUGUUUCCCUCAGCACCGGAAUUCCGUACUACACCGUGGGCCAGCUCCUUAGAGCCUGCCUGGGCCCGUGGCUAGGUGGUAUCAGGGCAGAACUUAAGACCCACGAUUCCUGGCCCCCAGCAUAAUUUUUUUUUAUGACCUCACACAUGGGGCAAAAGGAAAGCCGAAAACAUUAAUAAUUAAUUCUGGUAAAAAGAGAGGGUGGUGAUAUGGUUUGGCUGUGUCCCCUCCCAAAUCUCAUCUUGAAUUGUAGUUUCCAUAAUCCCCACAUGUCCUGGGAGGGACCAGGAGGAGAAAACUGAAUCAUGGGGCAGUUUCCCCCAUUUUGCCGUCCUGUUCUCGUGAUAGUGAGCGAGUUCUCACAAGAGCUGAUGGUUUUUAUAAGGGGCAUUCCCUGCCCAGUGCCCCCGCCCCACCACCUUCGCUCUGCGUUAUUUUCCUGCCAUCAUGUGAAGAAGGACAUAUUUACUUCCCCUUCUGCCAUGACUGUAAGUUUCCUGAGGCUUGCCCAGACAUGCGGAACUGUGAAUCAAUUAAACAUCUUUCCUUUAUAAAUUACCCAGUCUCGAGCAGUUCUUUAUUGCAUUGUGAGAAUGGACUAAUAC